GACUCUCGGCAACGGAUAUCUCGGCUCUCGCAUCGAUGAAGAACGUAGCGAAAUGCGAUACUUGGUGUGAAUUGCAGAAUCCCGUGAACCAUCGAGUCUUGAACGCAAGUUGCGCCCGAAGCCACUAGGCCGAGGGCACGCCUGCCUGGGCGUCA
rnacentral:rRNA from 2 species